GUUGAUUGACAGAUAACAUGAUUUUUUACAUUUGGUAGCCAAGUCUCCAAUUCCUUUGCCUAAGCAGUUGUAUCCUCAUGAAUUAAAAAAUGCAAGUUUGGAGCGCCCCUUGGUGUAUCAUCCACAACCUUUCUCAUAUCCUGGCUAUCCAGUAAUUUUGUACUUGUGAGUUACGUUACUAGAAUUUGUUGGUAAAUAAACAUUUUAAUUUCUUGGAA